rnacentral:lncRNA from 1 species
UUAGAUACAAAUAUGAAUGUUGCAAACUUUGCCGUGACCUGCUUGCGCAGGCGGGUAAACGGGACAGCGCAGCGGUUGUUGGACAGGCAAUCACGACAUCGAAGAGGUCGCUUAUGGAGGCGGAGGCAGAGCGUCGCCUUUUCAAUGCCCAGGCAGUGCAUGAGACCAAUGCCUGCAUAUCCGAGGUGACCGCUGCUGGACUGUACAUGGAGCUGGCCAACCUAACUGUGAAACUGCUGCGGCAUAUGGAUGAGUUGGACCAGCACCAGGAGGAGCAUGAACAGCUUCAAAUAGACUUCGAGCUGGCUCAGCGCAACCAGCAGGCUUUGAGCGCCCUACUGCAGCACAGGCGUGGGGAGAUGCAGAAUUUGACUGGGCAAGUUGAGGCACACAAGGUGGAGAGCCAAAUGCUGUGGAAGGUGCGUAUAGCUUGCAGGGCAAUGGCUAGGGGCCGUUCCCGGGAGGUAUGAUUGCCCGGUCACCAGGUAUGCGCGUGCUGUGCAUGGGUAAGCACCAAUCGCACCAAUCAGCGUGCACUAAUUGCAUGUACCACAGGCGCACCAUUUCGAGGGGAUCCCUACGUGGUAACCUUUGGGCUUUGCGGGAAUGGCAAGCUAGUUCUUGAGCUGCAUUUGCCUGAUGCAGUGCGUCUUAGUUCAUGCAGCUGUUCGGCCCUCGCAAUAGCAAUUUCCUAUUUUGCAAAUGUUUUUAUGCAGAUGGGCAAUGAUGCACAAGCCGUCGUCCGUCAGGAGGCGGCCAACAUGCUCACUUCGCAGCUCGCAGAGAUAACAGAGGACGUCAUGAAGCUCGAAGCGCGAUACGAGUCCUUGCAGCAGAAGCAGACACUUUUAGCAAGCUUGUACGCGAAGGUAAACUUAAGUACUGUCCUCUGCGUGCACGCGGUACUGAAUGGCUGAUUCACGCAACCUGCCAUGCCUGCCUUGCAGUCG